AGUGAACGCUGGCGGUAGGCCUACACAUGCAAGUCGAACGGCAGCACAGGAGAGCUUGCUCUCUGGGUGGCGAGUGGCGGACGGGUGAGGAAUACAUCGGAAUCUACUCUGUCGUGGGGGAUAACGUAGGGAAAUUUACGCUAAUACCGCAUACGACCUACGGGUGAAAGCAGGGGACCUUCGGGCCUUGCGCGAUUGAAUGAGCCGAUGUCGGAUUAGCUAGUUGGCGGGGUAAAGGCCCACCAAGGCGACGAUCCGUAGCUGGUCUGAGAGGAUGAUCAGCCACACUGGAACUGAGACACGGUCCAGACUCCUACGGGAGGCAGCAGUGGGGAAUAUUGGACAAUGGGCGCAAGCCUGAUCCAGCCAUACCGCGUGGGUGAAGAAGGCCUUCGGGUUGUAAAGCCCUUUUGUUGGGAAAGAAAUCCAGCUGGCUAAUACCCGGUUGGGAUGACGGUACCCAAAGAAUAAGCACCGGCUAACUUCGUGCCAGCCGCCGCAGUAA
rnacentral:rRNA from 1 species